rnacentral:snoRNA from 1 species
AAGGCCAAGAAACAAAAGCAGUUUCAAGCAGGAGCCUAAAGAAAUGUCUUUCUGCGGUCUGUUGGCUAUUUCAGAACUUAGGAAAUGUAAUGGUCAGUUCAUUAGAAAGAGACAUCU